rnacentral:rRNA from 1 species
AUUGAACGCUAGCGGGAUGCUUUACACAUGCAAGUCGAACGGAGUGGCGAACGGGUGAGUAAUGUAUCGGAACGUGCCCAGUAGCGGGGGAUAACUACGCGAAAGCGUAGCUAAUCCCGCAUACUAUGGGAGCGGCCGAUAGCGGAUUAGCUAUUUGGUGAGGUAACGGCCCACCAGGGCGACGAUCCGUAGCCGGUUUGAGAGGACGACCAGCCACACUGGGACUGAGACACGGCCCCAACUCCUACGGUAGGCAGCAGUGGGGAAUUUUGGGCAAUGGGGGGAACCCUGAUCCAGCCAUCCCGCGUGUGCGAUGAAGGCCUUCGGGUUGUAAAGCACUUUUGGCAGGAAAGCGGUACCUGCAGAAUAAGCACCGGCUAACUACGUGCCAGCAGCCGCGGUAAUAC